AUGCGGCAGAGUCGGGGAGCGGGGCUGGCGGCGCUGGCCGCGGUGCUGCUCGUGGAUGCAGUCAGAGCCCAGAUACUACAGGAGCCGUCACUGGAGACCACCGAAGGCACUGGCAUGAAUAUCACCUGCUCACACCCCAAAAAAGUGAUUGGCAAUUACAUCCAUUUCUACCGUCAGCUCCCGGGCCGAGCACCCGAAUUCCUCAUCCUCGCUGCUAGAGGCUCCAAGGACGAUCCAGCCAUUGCAGGAGAGCUGUGGGUGUCGGCAGACCGGCGCUGGAGCGCGCUGUGGCUCUGAGCAGGCACCUGACUGCAAAAAAUCCGAACAUCGAAGGAUAAGUCCCAGACCAGAGCUGCCCCCACCUCAUACUUGUGCU